UUGUAUGAUUACCUCAUGACUAUUGUUCAGUGUGACAACUGGUUUGACUAUUGGGGAAAAGGCACCUCGGUCACCGUCUCCACAGAAUCCCCAAGGGCCCCUUCUCUUUUUCCACUCAUCCCAUCUGGGGACAGCACAGGGGAUACAGAGAUCGCCGUUGGAUGCCUCGCCAAGAAUUUUCUGCCAGAUGCAGUUACUUUCUCCUGGGAUAAUCCAGACAACAGCAGUAUCAGCGACCAGAAGUUUAUGAAAUUUCCUUCUAUCAUGUCCGGUGGGACAUACACAGCAGCUUCCCAGGCUAAAGUCUCCCGGAGCACCUGGGAGGCUCUAGAACCGUUCUACUGCAAAGCCAAGCACGCCCAAGGAGACAAAGUGGUUUCAGUGGCUAAACCAUAUGUUCCAGUGCAAUUAGUCCCUGAGGUGCUCAUUCGGGCACCAGUGCUGAGUGCAUUUUCAAGUAGCUACCUAAAUUCCACUGUCACCUGUGAAGUUAGUAACCUCUGCUCUGGAAACGUUGUCAUCAGUUGGCUUAAGGAGCAAAAAGAAAUCACCAGUGGCAUCACUACCAGCAAACCUGUCCCAAAUGGUCGUGGUGGAUACACCAUUUGGAGCAAACUUGUUGUCACCAAGGAAGACUGGAUUUCUGAAAAGAAGUUUGCUUGUGCAGUAAAAAGCAAGGAAUUCACUCAUUCAGAGACGUUCAGCUUGCCAUCUUUCUGCAAAAAACCCAUAGAUGGAGGGUGUUCAUCUGUUAGCGUGGAAACCAUCCCCCCAACUUUCGCCGAUAUGUUCCUGACCAACUCAGCCAACCUGACUUGCAAAAUCUCCAACAUACCUACUGAAGCAGACUAUUCAAAGCUGAAUGUCACCUGGACACGAGAAUCUGACCACAAGCAACUCCACACUGUGAUGACCAACUUCCUAGAACAGGAAAAUGAUUUUUACUACGUCAAUGCUGUGGCCACAGUGUGUGCAACAGAAUGGAAGGAGGAUGAAACCUUUCACUGCAAAGUGACAUUUGAAGAUGUCCUUGUCAAGCCAAUAGAAAAACCCCUGAGGAAGGAGAAUGAUGGCAAACUGAAAGCUCCCUCUGUCUACAUCCUUUCACCUUCAGUAGAACAGGUGAAUUUGCGGGAGAAAGCUACCCUCUCAUGCCUCAUUCAAGGUUUCAAUCCCAACAGCAUCUUUGUGCGAUGGCUCCAUAAUGAGGAGCCAAUCAGUGAAUCAGAAUACUUCACCAGCCAACCCAUAGUAGAGUCCAAUGUACUGUCCAAACAGUAUUUUGCCUAUAGCAUAUUGACCGUCAGCGAACAGGAAUGGAGUGCAGGAGAUUCUUAUACUUGCAUGGUGGGACAUGAAGCCUUGGCCUACAACACAGUUCAGAAGACUGUAAACAAGAACACGGGUUACAUAGAGGGAAUUGUGGACACGGAGGAUGAAGAAGAAUUCCAAAACCUCUCAUCAAUCCUUUCCACCUUCAUCAUUCUUUUCCUAGUGAGCCUCUUCUACAGUGCCACUGUGACAGUCAUCAAGGUGAAAUAAAAACAGAGGCUGAUCUUCUACAUCUGCUUUUGUGAAAGGAGAAAGAUUUGAGUAGAUUGGAGGGGGCUGGCAUUUUUAUCUUGCUUUGUAUCAUAGUAUGAGCUGAAGCAGCCCAGUUGUUUACAGUUCAGUUCCAUGGUGAAAUUUUGCUUUACUUUGUUGUGUCAUUUUCUGUGUGACGCAUAUCUUUGUGGAUACUUCUCUGUGUCUCAAUUGUAGUCAUUGUUUAAUCAUUGUUAUGAUUUUUUUUUUGUCAGAAUGAUCUGCCUGAUCUGAUAUCCUAAAGGGGAUUUAUAGCACUUUCAUACAAAACAGACAGGAGAUCACUGCACAAUCUGUAUUUUUAUAUUGAGAUUGUCAUACAAUGCUGUAAUAAAUAUCUAUUUUUGAUGAAU